rnacentral:rRNA from 1 species
GAAUAUUGGACAAUGGGCGAAAGCCUGAUCCAGCCAUGCCGCGUGUGUGAAGAAGGUCUUCGGAUUGUAAAGCACUUUAAGUUGGGAGGAAGGGCAGUAAGCGAAUACCUUGCUGUUUUGACGGUACCGACCGAAUAGGCACCGGCUAACUCUGUGCCAGCGGCCGCGGUAAUACAGAGGGGGCAAACGUUCAUCGGAAUUACUGGGCGUAAAGCGCGCGUAGGUGUUUCGUGAAGUUGGAUGUGAAAGCCCCGGGCUCAACCUGGGAACUGCAUCCAAAACUGGCGAGCUAGAGUAGGGCAGAGUGUGGUGGAAUUUCCUGUGUAGCGGUGAAAUGCGUAGAUAUAGGAAGGAACACCAGUGGCGAAGGCGACCACCUGGGCUCAUACUGACACUGAGGUGCGAAAGCGUGGGGAGCAAACAG